rnacentral:guide_RNA from 1 species
AACAUAUCUUAUAUCUGAAUCUAACUUGUAAUAUGUGAAUU